UGUCACCCAGGCUGGAGUGAAGUGGUGUGAUCUCGGCUCACUGCAAGCUCCGCCUCCCAGGUUCACGCCAUUCUCCUGCCUCAGCCUCCCGAGUAGCUGGGACUACAGGUGCCUGCCACCAAGCCUGGCUAAUUUUUUGUAUUUUUAGUAGAGACGGGGUUUCACCAUGUUAGCCAGGAUGGUCUCAAUCUCCUGACCUUGUGAUCUACCCACCUCGGCCUCCCAAAGUGCUGGCAUUACAGGCGUGAGCCACCGCACCCGGCUGUAGUGAGACAAUUCUUAGUGGUACCCUAGAUAGCUUCAGGAUGGGGGUGGGUCUUCAGAAAGACUAAGACUUGAUUAGGAGCUUAGAACUUUCAGCCCUAUCCCCAACCUCUGGAAAGAAAGAGAUCCUAGAGAUUGAGUCAAUUUCAAUGGUGAAUUAAUCAGUUGUGCUUAUGUAAUGGAAUUGCCAUAAAACCCCCUGACCAAUAGCAUUCAGAGAGCUUCUGAGUUGGUGAAUACAUCCACAUGCCAGGAGUGUGGCAUACCACAACUCCUUGGGAAUAGAAGCUUCUCUCAGGAUCCUUCCGGACUUUACCCUAUGUUCACCCUCUUCAUUGGCCUAUUCAUUUGUCUUUUUUAUAAUAAACCAGUAAUAGAAAGUAAAGUGUGUUCUAGAGUUUUGUGAGCUAUUCUAGCAAAUUAAUGAACAUAAAAUAAGGGAGGAGGUGUUGUGGGAACCCCUUGACUUUGUAGCCAAGUCAGACAGAAGUAUGGUUAACCUGGGAACCUGAAUAACUUGUGACUGGCAUCUGAAGUGAGGGCAGUCUUGUGGGACUGAGCCCUUAAACCAGUGUAGUCUGACACUAACUCUGGGUAAUUAGUAUCAGAGUUGAAUUGAAUUGUAGGACACACAGUUGGUGUCUGAAGAGUUAGAGAAUGGUUGUGAGGCAUAAAAACAAAAACACCACACAUUUGGUUUCAGAAGUGUUGUGAGUCAAAACAGCUCAUAUUGGUGUCAGAAGUGGGAUUAGAAAGACCCUGAUUAUUUAGUGUCAGAAAAUUUAGGGUUCACUAGAAUGGUCCUAGCUAAUGGAAAAGUGGUUUGGGAAGAAAAAGGAUGAAAGGGUGGGAGAUACAGAACCUUUGAUUCCUGGGUGGUCAUGUGGUCACCCAUGAUAUGGACCAGCAUGACAGCUGUGCUGUUAUCAGUGACUAAAUUUAGUUACAAAUGGAAUUUGGAGGUGGAUCUAACUGCUGAGGAAUUGGUUCAUUGGAUGCAUAAGGAAAUGUAAAUGAAUAGGAAAAGUGCAGAAUAUAUAACUCCUUGGUUUUUGUUAUAUCUGUAAUAGCUAAAGUGAAAUUAAAAGAGUGCUGGAUGGACUUUGAUGCUCAACCAAACUCAGAUUUUGGUCAGUCUGAACUUUGGCCACUAGCCUUGAAGCUGCCCUCAAAGGGUAGAAUUAUGUGGAGACAACAAAGGGUACCUCUAAGACCUCUGGUCACUAAGAAAGUGGUGUGUGUAGGGGGAAGGUACAACCAAUAAACUAUUGAAACCAGGGGGGAUAGUGUGGAAGAGUUGUUGCAUUUGUAGAUCAAUAUCAGCUUCCUGAAAAACCCUUACUUAAGUGGAUUCUGAGAGUAACUGAUUUAGAGACAGUAUCUUUGGUUUUGAAUGCUGCAGAAUGGAAGAGCACGCCUGGGUUGACAGAGGACUCACUGCUCACUGUGGAACAAUCACAGAUGGCUAUAUCUGACACAGACACACAGCAGGUUAUUCCUGAAGAAACAACCAGCCUGGUGGACUGGAUAAAAGGCACUAUGAGGCACAGCCCCACAAAAGCAACUGCAGAAUAAAGAGGCUGCCCGACCCCAGUCCCAUGGAGAAGACUUGAGCUUGCUGAAUUAUAGACAGCAGGUGUCACUUUCACUCCAAGACUGGGCUCCCACCACCACUGAGAAAUCCUCCCCAGAGACAGAAGAAAAUACAAACCUCAAAUACUGAUAAUCUCUUUUAUUUUCUUUCAUCAUUCAAGUUUGUUCAGAACAUUACAAGAGGCAUGAAAGAAAAAAUAAUUCCAUUUUUAAAACUCUGUCUGUCCAAAGUAUAACAUAUGAAACCAUGCCAUUAUCUCUUAGGAAACAAAAGCAUUCAAAAUUAAUUUGGUAUUAAAGUUCAAGAUUCAGACCAACCUCAAAGUAUGGCAUGUGCAGUGUUUAAGUGCAAGAAGUAUUUUCAUUCCAAUUAUUUUACAGAGAUGCUGGAGUGACGUGUGCAAUUUGAAAUAUUCAAAUCCUUUAAGGUUUCUGAACUAAGUGUUUAAAUGAAAACUGAAAUGCUGCAUAGUUUCAGUGGCUUUCAAUUUCC